UACGUAGGGGGCAAGCGUUGUCCGGAUUUAUUGGGCGUAAAGAGCUUGUAGGCGGUUUGUCGCGUCUGCUGUGAAAUUUCGGGGCUCAACCCCGAACUUGCAGUGGGUACGGGCAGACUAGAGUGUGGUAGGGGAGACUGGAAUUCCUGGUGUAGCGGUGAAAUGCGCAGAUAUCAGGAGGAACACCGAUGGCGAAGGCAGGUCUCUGGGCCGUAACUGACGCUGAGGAGCGAAAGCGUGGGGAGCGAACAGG
rnacentral:rRNA from 1 species